CCUACGGGUGGCUGCAGUGGGGAAUAUUGCACAAUGGGCGCAAGCCUGAUGCAGCCAUGCCGCGUGUGUGAAGAAGGCCUUCGGGUUGUAAAGCACUUUCAGCGGGGAGGAAGGCGUUAAGGUUAAUAACCUGGGCGAUUGACGUUACCCGCAGAAGAAGCACCGGCUAACUCCGUGCCAGCAGCCGCGGUAAUACGGAGGGUGCAAGCGUUAAUCGGAAUUACUGGGCGUAAAGCGCACGCAGGCGGUCUGUCAAGUCGGAUGUGAAAUCCCCGGGCUCAACCUGGGAACUGCAUUCGAAACUGGCAGGCUAGAGUCUUGUAGAGGGGGGUAGAAUUCCAGGUGUAGCGGUGAAAUGCGUAGAGAUCUGGAGGAAUACCGGUGGCGAAGGCGGCCCCCUGGACAAAGACUGACGCUCAGGUGCGAAAGCGUGGGGAGCAAACAGGAUUAGAUACCCCUGUAGUC
rnacentral:rRNA from 1 species